CCUACGGGAGGCAGCAGUGGGGAAUAUUGCACAAUGGGGGAAACCCUGAUGCAGCGACGCCGCGUGAGCGAGGAAGUAUUUCGGUAUGUAAAGCUCUAUCAGCAGGGACGAAAAAAGACGGUACCUGACUAAGAAGCCCCGGCUAACUACGUGCCAGCAGCCGCGGUAAGACGUAGGGGGCAAGCGUUAUACGAAUUUACUGGGUGUAAGGGGAGCGUAGACGGCAAGGCAAGCCAGAAUUGAAAGGGGAGGGCUCAACCCUGUACAUGCUUUUGGAACUGUGGUGCUAGAGUGCAGGAGAGGUAAGUGGAAUUCCUAGUGUAGCGGUGAAAUGCGUAGAUAUUAGGAGGAACACCAGUGGCGAAGGCGGCUUACUGGACUGUAACUGACGUUGAGGCUCGAAAGCGUGGGGAGCAAACAGGAUUAGAUACCCUUGUAGUC
rnacentral:rRNA from 1 species